CCUCUUCCUCCCGCUCGCCUCUCUCUCUCUCCCUCCAAACCCUAGCCUCACUCCCGCCUCCCUGCCCUGCUGCCGUCCAAAUCCAACCCCACGCCGCCGCCAUCUCCUUCGCCUACCAGGCCGCCGCCGCCCCGCCGUCCACCCCGGCGCGGCCACCGUCGACGGCGAGGAGGAGGAGCACGGCGGGAAGGAGGAGGACAGCCCGGGAAGGAAGGACGGCAUCAACUUCCCACGCCGCCGCUGCCGCCUCCGCUCGCCCUCGCGUUGUCGCCUCCGCUCGCCGUCGUCGCGUCGUCGCCUCCUCCCCACCCUCUCGAUGCUCCACAACAACCCCAGGCGAGCGCGAGCAGCCAGGGAGGAAUGGCCACGCCCCUCUUCCUCAGCAGCGGCGGCGACUUGAGUUUGCAAGGGCUGGAUCCGUGCACGACAGGGGUUGGGGAGGCAAAUACGGAGGCGAGCGACGAGGCGGGGUUCGCCGAUGACAACAAGGCUGGGUAGGCACGUUCUGCCUCGCGGCGCUCCGCCCCGCCCCACCCACCUCCUGCCACACCCCGCACGCCGCCGGCCGCCUCCUGCGUCUCACCUCCUGCCCCGCCCGCCCCGCACCGCCUCACCGCGCGCCGCCGGCCGGCCGGCUCCUGCCUCGAUAUGGGGAAAAAAAGGUUGCCCGCAUCCUCCCACCCGCACGCCUGCGCUCGCCUCGCUUGGCACCGGCGGCAGGCCACCCCGCCGCCCGACUCGCCUCGCGUGCACCAGAGGCGGCCAGUGGCAGGUCGAUCUGCCCUCCCCCUCCCCCGCUAUCUACCACCACCAUCCUUGCCACUCCCUACCUUACCUCAGCCCGAUCUAGAUGCCUAACCCCUCCCUCCCCUCUCUGAGCACAUCCUGCUCCGUCAGCGGCUCCUUCUGUCCGGAUCAAGGCGCCAAGGCCCAUGCUCCCCUCAUCUGGUCGGACACAACAGAGCACAUAUCUUCCUUGCCUUUCUGCUACAUGUACGAACUGAAGCUGAUUGUGUACACUCUGAUUGCUUUUUUUUAAAGAAAACACUCUGGUUGCAGGUAGAAUCAGAAAUCAAAGUCUACAGAGAUGCAUACGUCAUGGGUGAAUGCAUGAUGUGAUAGAAUCCAGAGGACCUUCAGACGUGAUUCUCUGCUGGGGUGAAGGGUGUGAAGUGUUUUGCCGAGAUGCAGAUUCAGAGCUGGCGCUGGUUCAGGCUGAUGUGCGCUUUGACAAACGAAGGAGCAGACAUCCACUGAGAAGAAAUUCAUCCGAGCUCUCAAGUUGAAGUCAAACUGGCCAGCUACGUUUCAAAGGUGCGUGGAGAUGUAGCUAGGUCCCUGAUGUACAUGGCUGUGAGCUAUGGAUCUGGACAGAAAGAUGCAGCUCCACAUUUGGAACUUUCUGAUUCGCCAAGUAUUCGUAAGUAGUUCAUACAUCUGGUCUAUUUUUUCAUAACAUUUCUUUUUGACUAGCUGAGAUAAAUUAGUAGUAUUCUCACCAAUCAUCU